GCCGCGGUAAGACGUAGGGCGCGAGCGUUGUCCGGAUUUAUUGGGCGUAAAGAGCUCGUAGGCGGCUUGUCGCGUCGAAUGUGAAAUCCCGUGGCUCAACUGCGGGUCUGCAUUCGAUACGGGCAGGCUAGAGUUCGGUAGGGGAGACUGGAAUUCCUGGUGUAGCGGUGAAAUGCGCAGAUAUCAGGAGGAACACCGGUGGCGAAGGCGGGUCUCUGGGCCGAUACUGACGCUGAGGAGCGAAAGCGUGGGGAGCGAACAGGAUUAGAUACCCUGGUAGUCCACGCUGUAAACGUUGGGCGCUAGGUGUGGGGGGCCUCUCCGGUUCUCUGUGCCGCAGCUAACGCAUUAAGCGCCCCGCCUGGGGAGUACGGCCGCAAGGCUAAAACUCAAAGGAAUUGACGGGGGCCCGCACAAGCGGCGGAGCAUGCGGAUUAAUUCGAUGCGACGCGAA
rnacentral:rRNA from 1 species